GUCUGUGUCUGUGUUUCCAGAUAACCCCGUCAAACUCAGAGAUAGAGUAAUUAACGGGAAAGAGCCGCAGCUCGGAUCCAAGCGCAGGUUUGCAGAGGUGAAGAGAAAAAAGGAUGAAGAGAAGAACAGGGAGGUGUGUUUGACCAACAGACAGCGGGUGGAACUGUUCAAAAAGAAACUGUUGGAUCAGAUCCUUCAGAGGAGCAGCAGCUGAACAACGGAUGAGGACGAUGGCUCCACUGCAGCGUCAUGUAACAGACUGAAGACGUGCACUUUGCCUUUUGACUGAGCUGAAUAUGAGUUUGAAUAUCAACGCCGGCCUGGAUAUCUCUCGAGCCUCAUCUCAGCUUCAGCCCCUGUUUGUUUCUCUCCUUCGUUUCAAUGCAUUUUUGAUACAGAGCUCGACAUCUGUUUUUUCUUUCUGGAAAAUAAGAGAAAUCCUUCAAAACACCAGAAGGUCAUCUAACAACAAUUACUGCUGUUUUGCUGGCUAUUUUUUCCCAACUUCCAAAGACUCCCCUGUCCAAAAGUAUUAUGCUCUCAGAUGCACCAUAACAAAAUCCUUUUUAUCUUGUUGCAACAAUACUUUUAAGCUCCACAACAAUAGAUGUUUGGCAGAAGUUGCAUAUCUCCUUGCUCAUUUGAAUAGAUAAAUACCUAAUCAUACAUUUUCAAAUGGCUGUUUUUAUGCAGGAGGUUUAAAGGGUCUUGUGAUAUUCUAAAAAUACCUUCAAAACAGUGUUAAAUGUUGUCAAACUGACUUUCGGGUGCAGAUUUCCAUUCUCACCAUCCCUUAGGAAUGGAAUAACAAAUGAACAUGGUCCAGAUGAGUGUAUGAGAUCCUGUGUCCCCACUCUGCUCUGCCUGUAAUCAAACGUCUCACUGACGCUGAUGAACAAACUGACUGAUCCCACUUCGAUCUCACAUCCGCAGCAGAGUGAUUCAUCAGCGUUAUCUCUGUUUUCACUUGAUUGCAAAUCGCCAUUCUCUGCAGAAUACUUAGUGUAAUGGGAUGCAGAGGAACCGCACGAUAAAGCACCGAUGUCCUCACGCAUUGCACGCAACCACUUUCACAUGAUCUCAUGCGAUUCGAGGCAGUGAUAUGAGACAAAAUAAUUCACUAUGCUCCGUUGUUCCAUCCAGGACAGGCUUCACCCGUCCUCAUUAUGCAGCCGAUAGGCAGACAGAUGCCUGAAGUGGGCCCUGCUGUCAAUAGUGCCAGCCAUUAGCAGUAAGAUGGAGGAAUGUGACCCCUUCUCACUGGGGAAUGCCCCCGUUAAUGGACUCUGGUGAUUUGAAAGGAGCUUUUGUCCGGUGAUGGAUCACGGACCUGCCACCGCAGAUUUAGAUUUGUGUGUUUUGAUCCAAAGCGUAUGUGUGCUGCUCGACAACAUGAUGGAGCUGGCUGUAAAUCAAGAAUGAGACCUAUGAAUAUUUAUUUUUCCGGGGGAGCGACAGGCAACACGGCAGAUGCUCUUCUUCAUCACUCUUUGCUGUUAUUUGACUCAUUAGCCUUUAAGUUGCAGCUCUAUCACAGUCCAGAUGUUUUAUCCGUCAAAAUGUAUGCUUAUGUCACGGAGAAGCCAGACGAUUGCUGACUACUACUGUUGAAAACCUUACUUCACGUCGGUGCGUAUCAAUGUGUGGGUGUGUUUAGACAGUUGGAGUCUACUAAUAACAGCAGCAGUGUAAAAAAAAGACAAUUUAUGAACUGUGGCUGCUGCUUAAAAUGUUAUUGAUUGUUUAUCGUUUUCUCUAUUUAAAGAUAUAAAAGCUAAGUAGUUUACCCACUGCUGACAAAAAUAUGU